GACGAACCAUGCAAACGUUAUUCGGAAUCACUGGGCUUAAAGCGUGCGUAGGCGGUUCAGAAAGUUGGGUGUGAAAUACUUCGGCUCAACCGAGGAAUUGCGCCCAAAACUACUGGGCUUGAGGGAGUUAGAGGUGAGCGGAACUCACGGUGGAGCGGUGAAAUGCGUUGAUAUCGUGAGGAACACCGGAGGCGAAAGCGGCUCACUGGGGCUUUACUGACGCUGAGGCACGAAAGCUAGGGGAGCGAACGGG
rnacentral:rRNA from 1 species